GCUUUUCAUUUUGUUGACGAAGCAAAGCACUCUAAACCUACAAUAUAUCUAAACAAGCAAAGCAGUCUCUCCAUUGAUUCUUUGAAUCCAUCUCCCAAACACCAAUCAAACUGAAUAAAUAUUAAAAUUCGUGUGUAAACACAGCAUCAAAAAGUGAUGGCUCCUCGCACUAAAAAGCCUAGAGCUCGAGAGGCUGGAGAGUCAUCAAAUCAAGAACAGCAAUAUCCAUCAAUUGACUUCCUUUCAUAGAACCAGGAAUUUGAAUUUGCCACUAUUUCUUCCUGUUCAAUCGUUAGUGGCCGAAGAGUCAACCUUGCCCCAAAAUAUGAUGCCCUGUUGAUGAACAAACUUGAAGCCAUGGGAUGGCAAAACUUGAUAAAUUUGCCUAAAAAGUGAAUUGCUUUCUAAAGAAUGGAAAGACUAUUUUUGGGAGUUCAUUGAGGUCUGGCAUCACAAUGAGGAUGCUGAUUCACAAACAGCCAAAGAUUGUUUAAAGAAAAUUGUUAAAUAUGGGCAAUCUUUAUUAAGUGAACCUCUAGCAUCACUUUUUGAAUUCUCUCUUACUCUGCGAUCAACAUCCCCAAGAUUAGUGCUGUACCGGCAAUUAGCAGUGGAGUCUCUUUCUUCUUUCCCCCUGUAUGAUGAUAUUAACUCUCAAUCUGUCAACGGAGGGAUUCCCGAAACAAAUGAAAACGUGGAAAGCAAGAAGGUUGAACCAUUGCUUGUUGGCAUGAACCCAAGAAGUCCUGGGGGGGAGUGUUGCUGGGUGGAUACUGGUGGGGCAUUCUUUUUUGAUGUUUCAGAGUUCCAAACAUGGCUUCAUAGCCCUAAGGAAUCGUAAGUCCUGUUCCACAUUUUUCAAAGUAGA